rnacentral:SRP_RNA from 1 species
GGAGCGGAAACCCCGCGUGCCUCGCCUUGCCACAAGGAGGGAACACCACCAGGCGGGUUCCACAUCGGAGAGCUGGCAGCUGGCCAAGGUGGAUGGACGACCGAGGCCGCGGCCUAUCUCGCCCUCCACGC